GCCACUGUGGCUCAGGGGUAGAGCAAUUCGCUCGUAAUGAAUAGGUCGAGGGUUCGAUUCCCUCCAGUGGCUCCA
rnacentral:tRNA from 1 species